CAGGUGGUCAGGUAGAGAAUACCAAGGCGCUUGAGAGAACUCGGGUGAAGGAACUAGGCAAAAUGGUGCCGUAACUUCGGGAGAAGGCACGCUGACACGUAGGUGAAGUGAUUUACUCAUGGAGCUGAAGUCAGUCGAAGAUACCAGCUGGCUGCAACUGUUUAUUAAAAACACAGCACUGUGCAAACACGAAAGUGGACGUAUACGGUGUGACGCCUGCCCGGUGCCGGAAGGUUAAUUGAUGGGGUCAGCGCAAGCGAAGCUCCUGAUCGAAGCCCCGGUAAACGGCGGCCGUAACUAUAACGGUCCUAAGGUAGCGAAAUUCCUUGUCGGGUAAGUUCCGACCUGCACGAAUGGCGUAAUGAUGGCCAGGCUGUCUCCACCCGAGACUCAGUGAAAUUGAACUCGCUGUGAAGAUGCAGUGUACCCGCGGCAAGACGGAAAGACCCCGUGAACCUUUACUAUAGCUUGACACUGAACAUUGAGCCUUGAUGUGUAGGAUAGGUGGGAGGCUUUGAAGUGUGGACGCCAGUCUGCAUGGAGCCGACCUUGAAAUACCACCCUUUAAUGUUUGAUGUUCUAACGUGGACCCGUAAUCCGGGUUGCGGACAGUGUCUGGUGGGUAGUUUGACUGGGGCGGUCUCCUCCUAAAGAGUAACGGAGGAGCACGAAGGUUGGCUAAUCCUGGUCGGACAUCAGGAGGUUAGUGCAAUGGCAUAAGCCAGCUUGACUGCGAGCGUGACGGCGCGAGCAGGUGCGAAAGCAGGUCAUAGUGAUCCGGUGGUUCUGAAUGGAAGGGCCAUCGCUCAACGGAUAAAAGGUACUCCGGGGAUAACAGGCUGAUACCGCCCAAGAGUUCAUAUCGACGGCGGUGUUUGGCACCUCGAUGUCGGCUCAUCACAUCCUGGGGCUGAAGUAGGUCCCAAGGGUAUGGCUGUUCGCCAUUUAAAGUGGUACGCGAGCUGGGUUUAGAACGUCGUGAGACAGUUCGGUCCCUAUCUGCCGUGGGCGCUGGAGAACUGAGGGGGGCUGCUCCUAGUACGAGAGGACCGGAGUGGACGCAUCACUGGUGUUCGGGUUGUCAUGCCAAUGGCACUGCCCGGUAGCUAAAUGCGGAAGAGAUAAGUGCUGAAAGCAUCUAAGCACGAAACUUGCCCCGAGAUGAGUUCUCCCUGAGACUUAGAGUCUCCUGAAGGAACGUUGAAGACGACGACGUUGAUAGGCCGGGUGUGUAAGCGCAGCGAUGCGUUGAGCUAACCGGUACUAAUGAACCGUGAGGCUUAACCUUACAACGCCGAAG
rnacentral:rRNA from 4 species